rnacentral:rRNA from 1 species
UACGGGGGGGGCAAGCGUUUGUUCGGAAUUACUGGGCGUAAAGGGCUCGUAGGCGGCCAACUAAGUCAGACGUGAAAUCCCUCAGCUUAACUGGGGAACUGCGUCUGAUACUGGAUGGCUUGAGAUUGGGAGAGGGAUGCGGAAUUCCAGGUGUAGCGGUGAAAUGCGUAGAUAUCUGGAGGAACACCGGUGGCGAAGGCGGCAUCCUGGACCAACACUGACGCUGAGGAGCGAAAAGCCAGGGGGAGCAAACAGG